AUACCCUCUCUCCUCUUUGUCUUUGGCUUCUUCUGUGCCCCUUGCCCAUAUAUUAUUAGCUGAGGCAGCAAGGUUUAUCAAGAAUAAUAAAGACCUUGGAAUCACACUAACCUUGGAAUCCCAUACUUGCCAUGGGAACUUGGACAAGUGGUGUUACUUUUCUAACCUAUUGUCCUCAUCUGCCAUGGGAUAUUAAUCUCUAUUUACCUUAUUGGAAUAAGUGAGAAGUUGGGAGGCAGUUUGGUAUAGAGUAAUCGUUUUCAAAGUAUGGUCCCUGGACCAGCAGCAUCAGACUCAUCUGGGAAUUUGUUAGAAAUGAAUGUUCUCUGGCCCCACCCAAACUUACAAAUGGAAACUCUGGGAUCCCGCAAUCUGGGUUUGAAGAAACUUCCGGUGGUUCAGACAGAUGAGAAUCACUGGUAUAUGAUGGGUAAAGCCGUUGGGUUUGGAGGCAGACAAUUCUGGGUUCCUCUAAAAGUGUCUUAGUUCUGCCUCUUACUAUUUGGGACGCCUGACGCAAAGCAUUUUACUGACCUGCUCCUUAGUUUACUCAUCUGUGAAAUGGAGGUCCUAGUUGUAAAUACGUAGCAAUUAUUUAUUUACUCAUUCAACAAUUCUAAGGUCUAGGGAUACAUCAUUGAACAAAACAGACAAAAAUCUCUGCCCUCAAUUAGUAUUUGUUCUAAUGAGAUUUUUUGAGAAUUAAUUAAAACAAUUAUGAUAAUGACAUAUAAAGCUUAGUGCAACACUGGCACAUGUUGAGCACUCAGCAAAUGGCAGCUAUUAUUCAUGAUUGGGAAAGGACUUGUGAACAGUAAAUGUCAUAUUAAUUAAGCCGUGAGCUCUCUGAGAAUUGUCUGACUCAUGCCUAUGUCAUCCAAAUCUAACAUAGGGCCUGGUGCAGAUUAGGGUUCUGUAAAUAUUUGAUGAAUGUAUGUACAAAAGUUACAGGUAAAUACUGAUUGGGUUUCCUUUAUAAUCCACCUUUAGAGUUGAGAUCUCAAUAAGAGGCUACACUCUCCAAUAAGCCUUCCUCUCCCCUUACAUAUGUAUAUUUCACUCUCUCCUGUUAUUGAAAAGUAACUUUCUCUGCAUUCAUAUGUUGUGACAGGUCUGAAAUGUAGUCGGUGCAUGAUAAAUCUGUGUUGAAUGAAUGAAUGGAUGCCUGGAGCAGCAUAAAAAUUUGUUGGAAAUAGCAGUGGAAUAGGGAGCCUCAGUCUCCUAAAUCUGUAAAAUUGAACUGAUAAUCACUAACCCACCACAAUGCUGGAAGGAGACAGACCAACUUUAAUACCUAACUUCUUCUCAGGAAGAAUUGCUGAAAGUAGUCAAAGGAGACCAGGUGUCUUCCAGGUAUAACUCUGCAUUUUGAGAUUGUGAACUCCCAGAGAGCAGGAACUUGAUGUUCUCUCCUUGCGUCUGAGCACAGUAGGCACUCAUGCACCACCCAGGCUGACUGUUUCAGCUGUUGCAACUGUAGCCAUUCCCAUGAUGUGCUCCCUACCUGGUUCACUGCAGCAUGUUCAGGGAAGUACAACUGACCCUGUGGCAGGAUAGUAAGAAGCUAGGAAAGAGAACCAAGAUGGCGGCGUAAGGUACAGACCUGUGCGUGCUGCCUCCCACAACAACAUUGAAAAUACCAACUAUAAGACAAAACAGCUAUCAUUCAGAACCAUGGGAAAGCUGGCCCAGUGGAAGUUCUACAACUAGAAGGAAAGAAAGAAGAGCAUUGAGACUGAGUAGGAUAUGCAGAGGCACCAAGAACAGAGGUACGGAGUCGCGUGCCAGGCGGGCUACAACUGGAUGUGCAGUUUUUUUCCAUCGAAAGGGGUUACAAACUCUCGAAUCCACUGAGCUUGUUUGGGGUGGGAUUCUGAGGUCCCAGACCCCUACGGGGAGAGGCAGGACGGCCUUGCAGUGGGUCGGAAAGCAAGGGCAGCUUUCUCGCGGAGCUGCUCGCUGGCACUUGGGUACGCGGAGACGUGGAGUCACGGAGAGGUGAGGAGUCACGGAGACACCAUUGCUGUUUGCUCCGCCCUGGUGAUUCCCUGAGACCCCACCCUACUCAAUUUACAUCCCCGCCCAAGCUGUGCCAGAGGCACAAAAGGAACCACCUGCGCUUUUACAGCAUAACCC